rnacentral:rRNA from 1 species
AGCAGAGCACGUCCUACGGGAGGCGAGCAGUGGGGAAUCUUAGAGCAAUGGGGAAACCCCUGAUCUAGCCAUGCCGCGUGAGCGAUGAAGGCCUUAGGGUUGUAAAGCUCUUUCAGCUGGGAAGAUAAUGACGGUACCAGCAGAAGAAGCCCCGGCUAACUCCGUGCCAGCAGCCGCGGUAAUACGGAGGGUGCGAGCGUUAAUCGGAAUUACUGGGCGUAAAGCGCAUGCAGGUGGUUUGUUAAGUCAGAUGUGAAAGCCCGGGGCUCAACCUCGGAAUUGCAUUUGAAACUGGCAGGCUAGAGUACUGUAGAGGGGGGUAGAAUUUCAGGUGUAGCGGUGAAAUGCGUAGAGAUCUGAAGGAAUACCGGUGGCGAAGGCGGCCCCCUGGACAGAUACUGACACUCAGAUGCGAAAGCGUGGGAGCAAACAGGAUUAGAUACCCUGGUAG